AUGCGGGUGAGGAGCUCACAUUGGUUUUCAUGUAGCCGAGGCGGAGUUUGCCGAAGACAGCCGGCGCGGCUCGGCGCUCGCGGAGCGCACCGGCGCACCCGCUGGGUGUUGCCUUCGAGCCCCCGGGUGCUCGAAGGGGGUUCCCGGCCGGUCAGGCUCGACCGGCCAGGCGGCGAGGCGUCUUGCAGCGCCCUUUUUUUCUUCUGCCGCCUGCUGGCAGCCGGACAAAACUCUUCUCUUGUCUGCAAUAUUCCGUGGAGGCGCGCCAGCGCACCCACUGGGUGUAGCCCCCGAGAUUCGGGCCGACUGUUGAGCAGUCGGGCCGGAUCUUCCGGCAGCUACUUUAUCUUCUUUCCUCGCGGAGGCGCGGCAGCGCACCCGCUGGGUGUAGCCCCUGAGAUUCGGGCCAACUGCUGA
rnacentral:rRNA from 1 species